GCUCAGGGCCGCGGACCACUCCCUAAACCCUGCCGAAAACAGCCCGGGGAGAGGCCGCAGGGGCGGCUGGCAGGCAAUUUGUGGAGAACGGAGGGGGAAGGAGCUGGGGAAGCGCCGGGAGCCGCUCCGAGCCCCGGGGGCUGCCGCGGCGCUCUCCGGGCUGCUCGGGGCGCUGUGGCUCCGCGGCGGGGCGGCGGCGGCCUCUGCCCGCCGUGUGGGGCCGGAGGGCGGCGGGCAGCCCGCCCGUCCUUCCCGACCGGCGCCAUGGUGUGGUGCGGGGCCGUGCAGAGUUUUCUCUUCGAGUAUGACACCCCCCGCAUCGUCCUGAUCCGCAGCCGCAAAGUGGGGCUCGUCAACCGCGGGGUGCAGCUCGCCAUCCUCGCCUACGUGAUCGGCUGGGUCUUUGUGUGGGAGAAGGGCUACCAGGAAACAGACUCUGUGGUCAGUUCUGUAACCACAAAGGUGAAAGGAGUAACGCUGACAAACACAUCCUCCUUGGGAGCCAGGGUCUGGGAUGUAGCUGACUAUGUCAUCCCUCCUCAGGAAGAGAACAGCGUGUUUGUCAUGACCAACAUGAUAUUCACACUAAACCAGACCCAGGGCCAAUGUCCAGAGCUUCCAGAUGAUAAAACAGAGUGCAGCAAGAACAACAGCUGUGUUCCAGGAUAUGUCAGCACCCACAGCAAUGGCAUCCAAACUGGGAAAUGUGUAAAUUACAACGACAGCAUCAAGACCUGUGAAGUCUUUGCAUGGUGUCCUGUGGAGGAUGACUAUCACGUACCCAAGCCAGCAUUUCUGCAAGGAGCCGAGAACUUCACCAUUCUGGUGAAGAACAAUAUUUGGUAUCCCAAAUUCAACUUCACCAAACGAAACAUCCUCCCCACUAUCAACUCCACUUACCUCAAGAACUGCAUCUAUGACUCCAAGACAGAUCCCUUCUGCCCUAUCUUUCGCCUAGGGAAAAUAGUUGAAGCUGCAGGGCAGAACUUCCAGGAGAUGGCUGUGGAGGGUGGAGUCAUGGGGCUGCAGAUCAACUGGGACUGCAACCUUGACAGAGCUGCUUCCUACUGCGUGCCAAAAUAUUCCUUCCGGCGCCUUGACAACAAGGACACUGCCCACACCGUCUCACCUGGGUACAACUUCAGACCAUGGUGCCUGCCCUUACCAAUCCUUCCUGUUCUCUUCUACCCUCUUCUGUGCUUCCUCCUGGCUUAGUGAACCAUGUGACAGAGUUUGCAAAAUACUACAAGGAUAGUAGUGGCGUUGAAUCGCGGACACUUGUCAAAGCCUAUGGAAUCCGCUUUGAUAUCAUAGUGUUUGGAAAGGCAGGAAAGUUUGAUGUAAUUCCUACAAUGAUUAACAUUGGCUCUGGCUUAGCGCUGUUCGGAGUGGCUACAGUGCUAUGCGACCUUGUUGUCCUGAACUGCAUGAAGAAGAAAUACUACUAUCGGGAGAAGAAAUACAAAUAUGUGGAGGAUUAUGAGAUGGGAGAUGGCGAGACCUACGGAACCGACUCCUGAUCUCCUGCUGCUGCAGCACCAGCUGCUGCUGUGAACUGACGCUGUGAAUGUUUCCCUGACCCUGCUGUGAGACCUGCCCCUCUCUUCCUUGGAAGGAAGGGGGGAACAAACCUAAGAAAGGGAUGUUCUUCACUACCCACCACCUUUUGCUAGCCAGAACCAACCCCCAGAGAGGAGAACUGGAUCUGUCCUUUCCAGGUGAACUGCACUAAGCACAUACAAAGCCUCGUGGUUUUGUGCCAGAUCUCUGCCCAGAUGAGCUUGGGAUAAUGUCACUGUCAUUUCAACAGUCCUCCUUUCCCUGAGCUCAGUGGUAGCAGAGAGCAGCAAAGGCUCUUCCUUACAGUAAAUGUGGCUCCUGGCAUGUGUUGCCUAACCUUAGGAGAGUAGUUAUCAGGUCACUUCUCCUCACCAUGAGGGAUGGUGAUGUUUAGGUGAGACUUCCUUCUAUUUAAUUGUCCCCAGGCUCUAGUGGCCAUCAACUGAGAUAAAGCAGUGCCCCAUUCCCUUGUGCUAUGGUACGUGGUUUACUGGUUACAAGUUCUAUUUUCUGUUUGUGCCACUGUGCUAAAAUUUGCUUUCUUUUUUAAUAAAAUGUUAACUUCUAUCAAC